rnacentral:tRNA from 2 species
GCGCCCGUAGCUCAGUGGUUAGAGCACUGCCCUUAUAAGGCAGGGGUCGACGGUUCAAGUCCAUCCGGGCGCACCA